GGUCAAGUGAAGAAGCGCAUACGGUGGAUGCCUCGGCAGUCAGAGGCGAUGAAAGACGUGGUAGCCUGCGAAAAGCUUCGGGGAGUCGGCAAACAGACUGUGAUCCGGAGAUGUCUGAAUGGGGGAACCCAGCCAUCAUAAGAUGGUUAUCUUACACUGAAUACAUAGGUGUAAGAGGCGAACCAGGGGAACUGAAACAUCUAAGUACCCUGAGGAAAAGAAAUCAACCGAGAUUCCCUUAGUAGUGGCGAGCGAACGGGGACCAGCCCUUAAGUUGUAUUGAGAUUAGCGGAACGCUCUGGAAAGGGCGGCCAUAGUGGGUGAUAGCCCUGUACGCGAAAAUCCCUUUGCAAUGAAAUCGAGUAGGACGGGGCACGAGAAACCUUGUCUGAAUAUGGGGGGACCAUCCUCCAAGGCUAAAUACUACUGACUGACCGAUAGUGAACCAGUACCGUGAGGGAAAGGCGAAAAGAACCGCGGAGAGCGGAGUGAAAUAGAUCCUGAAACCGUAUGCGUACAAGCAGUGGGAGCCCACUUUGUUGGGUGACUGCGUACCUUUUGUAUAAUGGGUCAGCGACUUAUUUUCAGUGGCGAGCUUAACCGAAUAGGGGAGGCGUAGCGAAAGCGAGUCUUAAUAGGGCGUCUAGUCGCUGGGAAUAGACCCGAAACCGGGCGAUCUAUCCAUGGGCAGGUUGAAGGUUGGGUAACACUAACUGGAGGACCGAACCGACUACCGUUGAAAAGUUAGCGGAUGACCUGUGGAUCGGAGUGAAAGGCUAAUCAAGCUCGGAGAUAGCUGGUUCUCCUCGAAAGCUAUUUAGGUAGCGCCUCAUGUAUCACUGUAGGGGGUAGAGCACUGUUUCGGCUAGGGGGUCAUCCCGACUUACCAAACCGAUGCAAACUCCGAAUACCUACAAGUGCCGAGCAUGGGAGACACACGGCGGGUGCUAACGUCCGUCGUGAAAAGGGAAACAACCCAGACCGUCAGCUAAGGUCCCAAAGUCAUGGUUAAGUGGGAAACGAUGUGGGAAGGCUUAGACAGCUAGGAGGUUGGCUUAGAAGCAGCCACCCUUUAAAGAAAGCGUAAUAGCUCACUAGUCGAGUCGGCCUGCGCGGAAGAUGUAACGGGGCUCAAACCAUGCACCGAAGCUACGGGUAUCAUCUUUUGAUGAUGCGGUAGAGGAGCGUUCUGUAAGCCUGUGAAGGUGAGUUGAGAAGCUUGCUGGAGGUAUCAGAAGUGCGAAUGCUGACAUGAGUAACGACAAUGGGUGUGAAAAACACCCACGCCGAAAGACCAAGGUUUCCUGCGCAACGUUAAUCGACGCAGGGUUAGUCGGUCCCUAAGGCGAGGCUGAAAAGCGUAGUCGAUGGAAAACAGGUUAAUAUUCCUGUACUUCUGGUUAUUGCGAUGGAGGGACGGAGAAGGCUAGGCCAGCCUGGCGUUGGUAGUCCAGGUUUAAGGUGGUAGGCUGAGAUCUUAGGUAAAUCCGGGAUCUUAAGGCCGAGAGCUGAUGACGAGUGUUCUUUUAGAACAUGAAGUGGUUGAUGCCAUGCUUCCAAGAAAAGCUUCUAAGCUUCAGGUAACCAGGAACCGUACCCCAAACCGACACAGGUGGUUGGGUAGAGAAUACCAAGGCGCUUGAGAGAACUCGGGUGAAGGAACUAGGCAAAAUGGCACCGUAACUUCGGGAGAAGGUGCGCCGGUGAGGGUGAAGCAUUUACUGCGUAAGCCCACGCCGGUCGAAGAUACCAGGCCGCUGCGACUGUUUAUUAAAAACACAGCACUCUGCAAACACGAAAGUGGACGUAUAGGGUGUGACGCCUGCCCGGUGCCGGAAGGUUAAUUGAUGGGGUUAGCGCAAGCGAAGCUCUUGAUCGAAGCCCCGGUAAACGGCGGCCGUAACUAUAACGGUCCUAAGGUAGCGAAAUUCCUUGUCGGGUAAGUUCCGACCUGCACGAAUGGCGUAACGAUGGCGGCGCUGUCUCCACCCGAGACUCAGUGAAAUUGAAAUCGCUGUGAAGAUGCAGUGUAUCCGCGGCUAGACGGAAAGACCCCGUGAACCUUUACUAUAGCUUUGCACUGGACUUUGAAUUUGCUUGUGUAGGAUAGGUGGGAGGCUUUGAAGCGUGGACGCCAGUCUGCGUGGAGCCAACCUUGAAAUACCACCCUGGCAACUUUGAGGUUCUAACUCAGGUCCGUUAUCCGGAUCGAGGACAGUGUAUGGUGGGUAGUUUGACUGGGGCGGUCUCCUCCUAAAGAGUAACGGAGGAGUACGAAGGUGCGCUCAGACCGGUCGGAAAUCGGUCGUAGAGUAUAAAGGCAAAAGCGCGCUUGACUGCGAGACAGACACGUCGAGCAGGUACGAAAGUAGGUCUUAGUGAUCCGGUGGUUCUGUAUGGAAGGGCCAUCGCUCAACGGAUAAAAGGUACUCCGGGGAUAACAGGCUGAUACCGCCCAAGAGUUCAUAUCGACGGCGGUGUUUGGCACCUCGAUGUCGGCUCAUCACAUCCUGGGGCUGAAGCCGGUCCCAAGGGUAUGGCUGUUCGCCAUUUAAAGUGGUACGCGAGCUGGGUUUAGAACGUCGUGAGACAGUUCGGUCCCUAUCUGCCGUGGACGUUUGAGAUUUGAGAGGGGCUGCUCCUAGUACGAGAGGACCGGAGUGGACGAACCUCUGGUGUUCCGGUUGUCACGCCAGUGGCAUUGCCGGGUAGCUAUGUUCGGAAAAGAUAACCGCUGAAAGCAUCUAAGCGGGAAACUUGCCUCAAGAUGAGAUCUCACUGGAACCUUGAGUUCCCUGAAGGGCCGUCGAAGACUACGACGUUGAUAGGUUGGGUGUGUAAGCGCUGUGAGGCGUUGAGCUAACCAAUACUAAUUGCCCGUGAGGCUUGACCAU
rfam:Pseudomonas syringae pv. tomato str. DC3000, complete genome.